AGAGUUUGAUCAUGGCUCAGGACGAACGCUGGCGGCGUGCCUAACACAUGCAAGUCGAACGGAGAGAAUCGGUGAAACAGAGAGAAGCUUGCUUCAGGAAGUUUCUUGAUUAUCUUAGUGGCGGACGGGUGAGUAACGCGUGGGCAAUCUGCCUUUUACAGGGGGAUAACACAGGGAAACCUGUGCUAAUACCGCAUAAGACCACGGUAUGGCAUCAUACAGAGGUCAAAGGAGGAAUCCGGUAAAAGA
rnacentral:rRNA from 1 species